UGCCAGAGUUCAUUUGGGCACUCCUUCAGGUGCACAGGUGAUUUUUGGGGCUGUUCUAUGCAGAGCCAGGAGUUGGACUCAACAACCCUUGUGGGUCACUGUCACAGCACGUGCCACAGUCAAGACAGCCACAAUACACAGAGGAUCACCAUACAACUCCACACCCAUCAGAAGGCUCCAAAUAUAUGCCCACUUGUUCCCCAUCAGUCCAGCCUCUUAUUCCCCUCAUCUUACAUGCCUGACAGCUGCGUGCCCUCUGCACCCUCUGUGAAUGGUCAGUAACCUCAGCUCUCCGUGUCCCAUUGCCUUCAGUGCUGCUCACCUGUCCUGCACAGCUGUACCCACUGGGGAUGAGGCUCCAGCGCAGCCCCGCUCCCAAUUACCACAACCUAUAUCCCUACAGGUCCCUUCCAGCACAGGACGUUCUGUGAUUCUAAAUGGCAGCCUCCGCUACUGAGACGUUUGUGUCCUGAGGGCUGGCAUCAUCUGCUUGUUCCACGUGGGCGUGGAGGACAGGCCCUCUCUCAGGGAGGUCUCCUUGUUGCCAUAUGGACAAUGCUUGCAUUUUGCUGCAAUGACUGAAAUAAUUGCUUUGUGCUACAGCAAAGCAGCAUCCAGAGAAUACGGUUCACUUCCCUGGGGGAAGGCAGCGAUACGUCUGUGAGGUGUCUGUGUCCCAGAGAGAAGCAAGAACUUGCUGAGAUAGGCCGAGUGGUUCUCUCCAUCUUUGGCUGAGGUUCCCACCCCAGACACUUCAGCUCCAGAGAGCUUUCCAGUGCCAUGGAGAUCGACGGCCU